GCAUCAUUGAAGUCCAAUGGGGAAAGCAGGACGGUGGCGAAUUUCCGAUGGUGGAUACGGAUAAGGAAAACCUACAGGGUGUGCAAAGGGGAUGACUGGUGGAACUGGUACAAAGUCUGCGUGAUCAAAUGAUAUUUGUUGUAGAUUGCUGUGACUUAGUCCCCUGUUCAGCGAAGUGCAUGUGCGCACCCUUGAGGGAACCUGGGAGAGAGGGGAGGCUGCCACCGGGUGGAAUUAAAAUGCAAGUACACUAGGACAAUUGACAAAAAUGGUCAUUAACCUCAGAUAUCUUAGAUUACAUUAAAAAGGUACCUAAUAGUAUACAAUGUUCAAUUUCCUCUGAUGAAACCUUUUCUAAAAAUCUAAGCACUGUUGGAAACAAACCAUUAAACACCAGCUCAUAUCCAACUCUACAGUUGUUUCGAUCUUCACAGGGGUCAAGCAGGAGAAAUAGCUCUCCAUGAAAAUCCAUUAAAAGAGAAUCCAUUAGGCUACUUAUCCAAUUGAAUUCGCAAAUGCUAUUCAUUUUAAUCAAGCCUUUUAAAACUUCUAUUAGUUUAUUAUACAUACAGUGUUGCAUAAAAAUGUCAUUCUCAACCUUAACUUCAAAUUGUCUGUCUCCUUGUUAGUAGUUUAUAGUGGCUCCUUUAUUUUAGGCUACAUUGAAGUGUGCAUAUUUGGCACUCAAAGAUUUUGAGGCAGCCUGCUGAGUUUAAUCUAUUAGUAUAUCAGCUUCUGACACUCAUGUGACUGUUCAGCUAAAAA